CCUACGGGUGGCAGCAGUGGGGAAUAUUGCACAAUGGGCGAAAGCCUGACGCAGCGACGCCGCGUGAAGGAUGAAGGUCUUCGGAUCGGAAACCUCUUUCAGCAGAGAAGAACGGUCACUGUGCUAAUCAGCAGUGAAUUGACGGUACCUGCAAAGGAAGCACCGGCUAACCCCGUGCCAGCAGCCUCGGUAAUACGGAGGGUGCGAGCGUUAAUCGGAAUUACUGGGCGUAAAGCGCUCGUCGGCGGUAUGUCAAGUCAAGGGUGAAAUCCCCGCGCUCAACGUGGGAACUGCCUUUGAAACUGGCAAACUGGAGUGUGUGAGAGGAUAGUGGAAUUCCAGGUGUAGGAGUGAAAUCCGUAGAUAUCUGGAGGAACAUCAGUGGCGAAGGCGACUAUCUGGCACAUAACUGACGCUGAGGAGCGAAAGCGUGGGUAGCAAACAGGAUUAGAUACCCUAGUAGUC
rnacentral:rRNA from 1 species